UACGAAGGGGGCUAGCGUUGCUCGGAAUUACUGGGCGUAAAGCGCACGUAGGCGGCUCUUUAAGUCGGGGGUGAAAUCCUGGAGCUCAACUCCAGAACUGCCUUCGAUACUGAAGAGCUCGAGUCCGGGAGAGGUGAGUGGAACUGCGAGUGUAGAGGUGAAAUUCGUAGAUAUUCGCAAGAACACCAGUGGCGAAGGCGGCUCACUGGCCCGGUACUGACGCUGAGGUGCGAAAGCGUGGGGAUCAAACAGG
rnacentral:rRNA from 1 species